rnacentral:lncRNA from 1 species
CCGAUCGGUUAGGUUGGGGACUAGCGGCGAUUGUGGCACUUCGAUGUGCAUGGGGGACACCGAUGCACCGGUAGGUACUUUUGAGCAGCUCAUUUGUCUAUAUGAAGGGAAGGUGUUCUUAUUUGCUGUUUGUCAAAAAUGUGUACAUGGUUAUCAUGGGUCUUAUCUUUACACUACAUUGUUACUAUGUUAUAGUGAUAGCGCAAUAUUAAUGCAGUUCAGUUUGAG